rnacentral:misc_RNA from 1 species
UCACUACUUGCGUAGGCAGUCUCCCUAGAGUGCCCUUGCGUAGCAACUAGGGACAAGGGUUGCGCUCGUUGCGGGACUUAACCCAACAUCUCACGACACGAGCUGACGACAGCCAUGCAGCACCUGUGUUACGGCUCCCUUUCGGGCACACCCAGCUCUCGCUGGGCUUCCGUACAUGUCAAGGGUAGGUAAGGUUAUUCGCGUUGCAUCGAAUUAAUCCACAUCAUCCACCGCUUGUGCGGGUCCCCGUCAAUUCCUUUGAGUUUUAAUCUUGCGACCGUACUCCCCAGGCGGACAACUUCACGCGUUAGCUGCGGUACUGAGAAAUCGCUUCCCCAACACCUAGUUGUCAUCGUUUAGGGCGUGGACUAC